GUGGCGGACGGGUGAGUAACGCGUGGGUAACCUGCCCUGUACAGGGGGAUAACAGUCAGAAAUGACUGCUAAUACCGCAUAAGACCACAGCACCGCAUGGUGCAGGGGUAAAAACUCCGGUGGUACAGGAUGGACCCGCGUCUGAUUAGCUGGUUGGUGAGGUAACGGCCCACCAAGGCGACGAUCCAUAGCCGGCCUGAGAGGGUGAACGGCCACAUUGGGACUGAGACACGGCCCAGACUCCUACGGGAGGCAGCAGUGGGGAAUAUUGCACAAUGGGGGAAACCCUGAUGCAGCGACGCCGCGUGAAGGAAGAAGUAUCUCGGUAUGUAAACUUCUAUCAGCAGGGAAGAAAAUGACGGUACCUGACUAAGAAGCCCCGGCUAACUACGUGCCAGCAGCCGCGGUAAUACGUAGGGGGCAAGCGUUAUCCGGAUUUACUGGGUGUAAAGGGAGCGUAGACGGAUGGACAAGUCUGAUGUGAAAGGCUGGGGCUCAACCCCGGGACUGCAUUGGAAACUGCCCGUCUUGAGUGCCGGAGAGGUAAGCGGAAUUCCUAGUGUAGCGGUGAAAUGCGUAGAUAUUAGGAGGAACACCAGUGGCGAAGGCGGCUUACUGGACGGUAACUGACGUU
rnacentral:rRNA from 1 species